CAGGUCAACUGUUGCAUAAUGAAAGUUGAUUUUGUUCAGAAACUAAAACCAAAAGGUCAUACGGUCAUUUUCUGUUUUAAGUGCUAUACCCCAUUCCCUAUGUUGCAUAAUGCUACUUCAUGUUAUGCAACAUUUUUUUCCCAGUAUUUAGUGUAUUGCUGUCUUAAAUUCUGCUGGCUUCUCUGAUUGUUUGUUCUGCAACCAUAGAUAAGUAUUCUGCUUCUUUAUCAGAGAUCUCCCUUACAUGCAGGCUCAUGUUUUGAGGCCCCCCAAAGCUCCCAUUGCUAUAGAACAGCAUUAAUAUGCAGGUACUAGUAGGGAUCAAACCUCAAGACUGCAUCGCUCAUACAAGCUGUGAACCAGACACUCAGACUGCUAGUGAUUGACCUGACACAUCUGAAGUCCUGCAUCAAGCCCAGGUGGCUGGCAUGACUGUUCAGGAACACGUCUUGUUUAGUGAAUGGGAAGAACCACUGGGAGGAUGAAGCAAGGUCAUGCAGCAGAAUGGGGUCGUCGUGGAGACUGCAGUCUCAAGAGCUGCAGAAAAGCAAAAAUGGGCAUUGCCAGAACUGUUAGCCAUGAGUCAGAGCUCUGACACUCUGGGAAAUCCAUUUAGACUGUGUCUCAGAAACCCCACCUGACAUACAGCAGUAGCAAGUUGAAUCAAGGUCAAGAGGAAAGGCAAAAGAAGGCAGCUAGGACAGAAAGAUGACACCUCAGCCCAUUCCUGUUCUAGGAUUACUUUCUUCCUCCACACUACUGCAGGGAGGAGCUCAGCCACAUGGGCUGUGGUGUGUGGGACACAAGCGUUCAGGGCCCAACAGAAUAGCCCUCACUUCAAAUUCCCAUCAUCACUCCCAUCACAUGGGCUUACCUGAAUCAGGGCGCUGAGUUUCUUUGUCCAAACGGAGACAUCAUGAAAGAUUUAAUUGUACAGCUUGGGCUUCGUUUAAACAGUUUAAAAAGCAAAAUGCUGCUUUAAGGAAGUUCUCAAUUCAUCUCCACUGAGUUCAUACGGUAUUCCGCCAGCUCAAAUCAGUCCCAGUGCAGAUCUCUAAGUUACUUUCAAUAGUAAAAUACCUACGUGAAAAGAACUGCUGUGUGGGCCCAAGAGGCUGUAGACAGCAAAAGGAUCCUCAUUUCCCCUAGCAAACAGCAGCUCUUAGCAUACUGGUGAUUGCUGCGCUGACCAGAUGGCGGUGGGAGCAGCAGUUUGGAUGAUGUUAAUUACACUCAAACUCCAAAACAACUGAUGGCAAAACUCACUUGGAAAAUGCACCACCAGAACGGG
rnacentral:lncRNA from 1 species